GAACGGCCACAUUGGGACUGAGACACGGCCCAAACUCCUACGGGAGGCAGCAGUAGGGAAUUUUCGGCAAUGGAGGAAACUCUGACCGAGCAACGCCGCGUGAACGAUGAAGUAUUUCGGUACGUAAAGUUCUUUUAUUAGGGAAGAAUAAAUGAUGGAAAAAUCAUUCUGACGGUACCUAAUGAAUAAGCCCCGGCUAACUAUGUGCCAGCAGCCGCGGUAAUACAUAGGGGGCAAGCGUUAUCCGGAAUUAUUGGGCGUAAAGGGUGCGUAGGCGGUUAAAUAAGUUUAUGGUCUAAGUGCAAUGCUUAACAUUGUGAUGCUAUAAAAACUGUUUAGCUAGAGUAAGAUAGAGGCAAGUGGAAUUCCAUGUGUAGUGGUAAAAUGCGUAAAUAUAUGGAGGAACACCAGUAGCGAAGGCGGCUUGCUGGGUCUUUACUGACGCUGAGGCACGAAAGCGUGGGGAGCAAACAGGAUUAGAUACCCUGGUAGUCCACGCCGUAAACGAUGAGUACUAAAUGUUGGGUAAAACCAGUGUUGAAGUUAACACAUUAAGUACUCCGCCUGAGUAGUACGUACGCAAGUAUGAAACUUAAAGGAAUUGACGGGACUCCGCACAAGCGGUGGAUCAUGUUGUUUAAUUCGAAGGUACCCGAAAAACCUCACCAGGUCUUGACAUGCUUCUGCAAAGCUGUAGAAACACAGUGGAGGUUAUCAGUUGCACAGGUGGUGCAUGGUUGUCGUCAGCUCGUGUCGUGAGAUGUUGGGUUAAGUCCCGCAACGAGCGCAACCCUUAUUGUUAGUUGCCAGCACGUAAUGGUGGGGACUUUAGCAAGACUGCCAGUGAUAAAUUGGAGGAAGGUGGGGACGACGUCAAAUCAUCAUGCCCCUUAUGACCUGGGCUACAAACGUGAAACAAUGGCUGUUACAAAAGGGGUAGCYUGAAAACACCAAGUUUUUUUGGGSGAAAUCYYCAAAAAAAACCAGGUCYCCAG
rnacentral:rRNA from 1 species